rnacentral:rRNA from 1 species
GCUCAGAACGAACGCUGGCGGCGUGGAUAAGACAUGCAAGUCGAGCGCCGAUUUUGGGGUAGCAAUAUUCCAGAGUCGGAGCGGCGCAAGGGUGCGUAACACGUGGGCAAUCUGCCAUGAAGUUUGGGAUAAUCCCGCGAAAGCGGGACUAAUACCGGAUGUGACCGUUGGGGGGCAUCUCCUGAUGUUUAAAGCUGGGGACCGUAAGGCCUGGCGCUUCAUGAUGAGCCCGCGGCCUAUCAUCGGUAGUUGGUGAGGUAACGGCUCACCAAGCCUGAGACGGGUAGCUGGUCUGAGAGGACGACCAGCCACACUGGAACUGAGACACGGUCCAGACACCUACGGGUGGCAGCAGUCGAGAAUUUUUCACAAUGGGCGAAAGCCUGAUGGAGCGACGCCGCGUGGGGGAUGAAUGGCUUCGGCCCGUAAACCCCUGUCAUUCGCGAUCAACCCUUAUUAUUUAAAAGAUGAUAAGCUGAUAGUAGCGGAAGAGGAAGGGACGGCUAACUCUGUGCCAGCAGCCGCGGUAAUACAGAGGUCCCAAGCGUUGUUCGGAUUCACUGGGCGUAAAGGGUGCGUAGGUGGUCAGGUAAGUCGGAUGUGAAAGCUCGGAGCUCAACUCCGAAAUGGCAUUGGAAACUACCUGGCUAGAGGAAUGGAGGGGGGACUGGAAUUCUCGGUGUAGCAGUGAAAUGCGUAGAUAUCGAGAGGAACACCAGUGGCGAAGGCGAGUCCCUGGACAUCUCCUGACACUGAGGCACGAAAGCUAGGGGAGCAAACAGGAUUAGAUACCCUGGUAGUCCUAGCCGUAAACGGUGCAUGCUUGCUGUAAAAGGAAUCGACCCCUUUUGUGGCGGAGCCAACGCGUUAAGCAUGCCGCCUGGGAAGUACGGUCGCAAGAUUAAACUCAAAG